CAUGGGGGUAGGUUAUAUGAUCGAGGAACGGCGAAUCUGAGCCCACUAUGCAAUGAACCUUGAAUCUUUUUUAUUUGUAUUUAAAGGUGUUGCUCAUUUACGCUCCUAUGUUCAUAGCCGUCCUGUGUAAAGAUUUCUUCUCUCUCAUACCUUUAUUGCAUAUGAUUUGUUCUUGAUCUUUUAUUGUUUGUUGUUGGUCCUUUAUUUUGUUUGCGGUUUCUUCUACCAAAUCAGGGGCCAUUCCAGUUUGUUUUGUCCUUAUCUCUUCUCCUGUCAUAACUUCACCUAUUCAAGAAGCUUAUUUUUUCUAAUUUGAUACAGUGUCCUCUGAUGCAGCCUUUUUCUAUUCAGUCAUUGGAUCAACAAAAUAUUUACUAUUUCAAGCACAUUAAAGAUAUAAACGAUUAGAUAAUGGCUCAAGGUAAAGAGCUAUGUGUUGUUUUCAUUUAGUAAGUGCUUUAAUAUAAUCCAGCCAUUACAACUUUAUGACAUAUUCAAGAUACACAUUCAGUUAGCCCUUUUAAUUGAGCAUUGUUUGUUUUGAGUUUAUGGGCAAUUGUAGUACUCCCAUGCCAUUGUUAAAGCUCUGCACUUUAAUCACACUAAAUAUAGUUGACUAUUUUAUUAGCGGUAUGUAAAUGAGACAAUCUAGAAGCUGCAGCAAUAAAUCUGACCCGACGACCGAAAUGCCCUGAGCUCUGAGAAGCCGCAGGUUCUCGCAAUGUGCUUAUAUGCUAGAUCAGUUGUGUAUAAAUUUGUUUUUAUAAUAGUCAGAUCCAACCUUUGUAUUUGCUUCACUGGUUGUACUUUGGUUAGAAGCAAAUAAUGUGAUGUUGUCCUGUUGUGAUGUCCACACUAUCACUAUCAAAGUGUACAGGUAUAUUCCUUUUUUUUAUCAUUUUCACUUAAUCUUCCCUGUCCUGUUCAUUUUUGAAACCGAGUAUUGUAUGAGGUCCUACACUCUUCCAGCUUGCUAUAUUUGUUAAACACAUAUUGCAAUGGUGGGUGACUACUUUAGUUUCAUAUUUUGACAAGAUAGUCUUUCUGUAUGUCAAGUAAAAACAUGGAAAAUGACUGAUGGGGAAGAGUUGUCGUGUUUUAGGAACAAGUGCAGUAAUGUAAUUUUGAGCGAGAGAGAGAGGAGUACAUUUCUAAGCUACACUUGUGCCUCUGUUCUCAAUAGUUUCAAACUGAUGUGUUUCUUGCCUUACAUGAAUUGAACCAUGCUAGAAAUCAGAGAGUGGACAACUGUAGUUUUAGUUUUUAGUUAAAGUAUAUUAUCUGCUAGCUACUAUAUACUAUGCAACACCACAUUUUGAAUUAUCCAAUAGAAUUCAUGUUCAGACUGUUUUAGGUAGCAGACUGUAACAUAUGGGGACCCCUGAUGUGUACUAGGAAGUGUUUGUUCAUUUGUAUGGCAACAUGUGUUGUAGUGGCCAGGACCCUCUGGUGAGCUCAUCCACUCUUUAGUUUUCCACCCCUUUUAAUGUUUAAUUUUGUUGUCCUUUUAACGUUUAAGAACACCAACCGCUCCAAUUCGGUCGACGAUGGAGGUUUUCUUCAUCCUUGCGAUAUCCAAUCCCCAGUCGCCUAGCAGACCCAAGACACAUGCCCUCCUCGCCCCCAACCCCCUCUUCUUGACCAUUUGUGCCUUUAUGUUUUUAUAUUAUGUUAAUAAACCAUGUGCUAAUACUUUCGUGUUGUUAUUGUCAUUGGAAAAAGAAGUUUAAUACACUCGAGCAUUGUUUUGUUCUUGAUCAGGUGUAUGGAUGUGCCUAUAACUAAACAUAAAAAUAGGAUAGACACUAAAUUCUUUAAAGCAGUAGAAACUGGGAAGUACACAGAGGCUUACUUUCCUGUAUUUGGGUGUAUAUGAUUUUUGAUAUAAAAUGAAAAGGCAGAGUUGUUCUCACUAUGCCAAACUCCACCUUUACUUAAAGCCUUCUAUCAGUAGGAUAUAAGUAUGGCAGACUCAUUGAUCACGUGAUGUUGCACACAUACAGAAGAACUCAUGCACCCAAGUUGUCCCAUAUUAUUAUUAUGUGGAUCCAGCUGUAUAUUUGAUAGAUAGGCUGGAUGUGCAAGUCCUCUAGAAUAUGUAACUUCCGAAUAACAAGAAACUGGUUUCAAAUGCUCCUUAUUUUCUGUAGCAUAGUUAUCUGGUACCUCAGAAUUCUAUGUCAUGGAAGGUAAUGUAAAAAUACGUUUUUUUAUGAGCGCAAUUAAGAGUGUCAACUCUAUAUUAAAACUAGAUUAAACAUUAGCUCUGACCAGAUGGCCAUUUAUUUUGUCAUAUUACAGGGCAGAUAAAGAGUGGAUGCCCAACUGCUCCGAUGUAGGCCGCUCCGAAUCAAUUAUCCGAUAUAUGGCGUCACUUGAAGGGUUUGUCUAUAUUUAUCUUUAAGGCUACAACCUGGAGUCUCAUGGGGGUGUGAAGAUGAUACCUAAGUAAUCUAGGGCAUUGCUUUGUUAGGGGUUCACUUAUGUACAAGAAUGGCAUGUUCUUUCUUGUGUAAUAUAUUGUGGUUUUUUUUUCUGCUCAACACCAUCUGGACUAUGUAUCACUGUAAACUGCUUUAUGGUUUGGACCUGAGCGUUGGAGCAUGGUGCUGGACAGGGAACAAGUCCCUAAGACCGCUCUUUGGAAUUCCAAUAUACAUGGAGAUAGAAGUGACAUUUGAGGGCCAACAAAUAUGUUGUAUCGUGGAUGUCCCCCUUUACAUCAUUGUUUUAUGAAAUGCACUAACGCUCCCGGAAGGUUGUCCUGAGUAUAUUUGUAUAUUUGUUAUAACAAGUAUGAUUUGGUUUGAAGUUAUCCAAUGUCGUGUGAUGAACCUUGAUGUUUAGUAUGGAAUCAUUAGUAAGAGUUUA